rnacentral:tRNA from 1 species
GCCUGGUUGGCUCAGUAGGUUAAGCGUCUGACUUUAGCUCAUGUCAUGAUCUCAUGGUUCAUGGGUUCGAGUCCUGCAUCGGGCU